rnacentral:rRNA from 1 species
AUUGAACGCUGGCGGCGUGCUUAACACAUGCAAGUCGUGCGGUAACAGGCGUAGCAAUACGUGCUGACGAGCGGCGAACGGGUGCGUAAUACAUGGGAAUCUGCCCUUUAGUGGGGAAUAACCCGGCGAAAGCCGGGCUAAUGCCGCAUAAGAUCUUCGGAUGAAAGCGGGGGAUCGUAAGACCUCGCGCUGAUGGAUGAGCCCAUGUCGGAUUAGCAGUUGGUGAGGUAACGGCUCACCAAGGCGACGAUCCGUAGCUGGUCUGAGAGGACGGCCAGCCACACUGGGACUGAGACACGGCCCAGACUCCUACGGGAGGCAGCAGUGGGGAAUAUUGGACAAUGGGCGAAAGCCUGAUCCAGCGACGCCGCGUGUGUGAAGAAGGCCUGCGGGUUGUAAAGCACUUCCGAUGGGAACGAAAUGUGCCGGGCUAAUAUCCCGGCAAGCUGACGUUACUCAAUGAAGAAGCACCGGCUAACU